CCUACGGGAGGCAGCAGUGGGGAAUAUUGCGCAAUGGGCGAAAGCCUGACGCAGCGACGCCGCGUGAGGGAUGAAGGUCUUCGGAUCGUAAACCUCUGUCAGCAGGGAAGAACGGUCACUGUGCUAAUCAGCAGUGAAUUGACGGUACCUGCAAAGGAAGCACCGGCUAACUCCGUGCCAGCAGCCGCGGUAAUACGGAGGGUGCGAGCGUUAAUCGGAAUUACUGGGCGUAAAGCGCUCGUAGGCGGUAUGUCAAGUCAAGGGGGAAAUCCCCGCGCUCAACGUGGGAACUGGCUUUGAAAAUGGCAAACUGGAGUGUGUGAGAGGAUAGUGGAAUUCCAGGUGUAGGAGUGAAAUCCGUAGAUAUCUGGAGGAACAUCAGUGGCGAAGGCGACUAUCUGGCACAUAACUGACGCUGAGGAGCGAAAGCGUGGGUAGCAAACAGGAUUAGAUACCCGAGUAGUC
rnacentral:rRNA from 1 species